UUCUGUCCUUGUCUCCUGUAAGGGCAUCAUGACAUCCUCGUUACAAUCUCCUCUUGAAGAUGGUCUCCCUGUAAUUGACAUUUCACAAUUUCCCAAGGAAAUUGAGGGAGAUCAUCUUCAAUAUCUUCCGGAGGUUGUCAAACUUAGAGAAGCUUGUGAAGAAUGGGGAUUUUUCAGGCUGGUGAACCAUGGAGCUUCACAAGAUCUUCUGCAAAAGGUUAUAUGUGUAAGCCAGGAUUUGGUGUCGAUGCCCAUGCAGGUUAAGAACAGAAUCACAACUUGUAAUCCCUCCAAGAGUUAUGGUCGUAACGCCGGUAUUCCGAUUCCUUCUGAGACAUUUUGCUUCCUUGACAUUACCCAAUCCAAAUUCAAUCCUUGAAAUAUAAGGAAACUCUAACUUCUGUGAAGCGAUGGGUACAUUCAGUUUAUUUCUGUCAGAUCUUGCAAAGAGAAUACUUAAACUCAUUCUUGUAAGCCUCGGUUUGGACUCGGAGGCUUUCUAUCACUCUGAUUUUGAAAAAUGUAAAGUCUGGUUGCGAAAAAACGGUUUUCAUCUCAUGGAAAAUCAACUGGAGAUGAGGCUUUGAGUGCUCACGCAGAUCGGGGUUGCCUGACAAUCCUUCACACUGAUGAAGAGGAAGGGUUCGAGGUACGAUCCAAAGAAGGAAGGUGGAUCAACGUUAAGCCUUCACCAAACUCCCUUAUUGUCAACUUAGGGAUCUCCCUUAAGGCAUGGAGCAAUGGUAGAUUCAGGUGUGCAGUUCCCCGCGUGAUAUGUAAAGGGUGGCAGAAUCGUUUAGCGGUUCCCCUUUUUUUAAGCUUUGCAGACGAUGCCCGAAUUUCGGCUCCAGAGGAGCUUGUGAAUGAAAAUAAUGCACGGCGAUAUAAACCUUUUAUUUUCUGUGAAUUGCAGUCUGAAUUGCGGAAAAAAUUUGAGAAAUUAUAAAGAAGAUAAAGAACAAGUCAAAGUGAUCGAACGAUUUGCUUGCACACCAAUGAGCUACAUUUUAGCAGCUCUAGUAUUUUAUUUAUAUUAUAGCAUUGAAUUUCUUCGUUACGUCUAAUUAUGAUCAUACUGCGCAGUGUUUCAUGGGUCUUAACAUUUCCAAGAUAGAUAUAGGGAAGUUAAUUUUCGGAAAUGGGUGUUAAAGAUUUGU